UUUUCUUUACCUUAUCUUCUAUCUUUCUUUAUCUUUUAUUUUAAAUUCUUAUCUCUUGCUUUUAAAUUGGGUUUGCAUUAAUCUAAGUACAAACAAAGUCCAUGUGGAUUCGACACUCGGACUUCCGAGAACUUUACUACUUGUAACGAUUUGAUACACUUGCCAACGAGUCAACAUUAGGGUUUAGGAUAAUGGUAAGUGAAACAUGAAUUGUGUAGUUAGUAGUGUGUAAGUG
rnacentral:lncRNA from 1 species